CCUACGGGCGGCAGCAGUGAGGAAUAUUGGUCAAUGGGCGAGAGCCUGAACCAGCCAAGUCGCGUGAGGGAGUACUGCCCUAUGGGUUGUAAACCUCUUUUGUCGGGGAGCAAAAGCCGGACGUGUCCGGCUGUGAGAGUACCCGAAGAAAAAGCAUCGGCUAACUCCGUGCCAGCAGCCGCGGUAAUACGGAGGAUGCGAGCGUUUUCCGGAUUUAUUGGGUUUAAAGGGUGCGCGGGCGGAUUUUUAAGUCAGCGGUAAAAACGGGGGGCUAAACCCCGUCCAGCGGUGGAAACUGGGGAUCUGGAGUGUGCGGAAGGUAUGCGGAAUGCGUGGUGUAGCGGUGAAAUGCUUAGAUAUCACGCAGAACCCCGAUUGCGAAGGCAGCAUACGGGUGCACAACUGACGCUCAGGCUCGAAGGCGUGGGUAUCGAACAGGAUUAGAUACCCGAGUAGUC
rnacentral:rRNA from 1 species